ensembl:snoRNA
CUUCAUAACAAUUAGAAUGGCUAAGAUCAAAAACUCAUGUGACGUGGGAGCAGUGUUAAUUCUUAUGUGCUAUACUAAUAGUUGAAGGUUCAUUAGCAGAGUAACUGCAUAUAGUAAUUCUGCCAGUCCCCUUCAGACAAAA